UCUCCAGCUGUUUUUGGACUACAAUUCCCCUCAUCCCUGACCACUAGCUAGGGAUGAUGAGAGUUGUAGUCCAAAAGCAACUGGUGA